GGGAAGCUCCCCUCCGAGACUCUGGAUAGCCGCCGGGGGGGCGUUGCCUGGCCGGCUGGUUGCGUAGCAACGGCAGGCGGUGCGUGACGUGCGCAGCCGCGUUCCGUCCUGAGGCGCGCCCGCCCCGGGGUAAGCUCGCGCCGCCGCGUCAGCUCAGCGCUGGGUCUCUCGGUCCCGCAGCCGUGAGGAGGACGGUCUGCAUACUCGCUGCCCGCCGGCUCCCUCCCCCGCGUCCCUGCGACCGCCGCGGCGAAGAUGGCAUAAAACAUGAAUGUCAAGCAAAUGGACCAGAAGAUCUCAAUCGGGCUUGUAUUGCUGAAAAGUUAGGUGGAUCCUUAAUUGUAGCCUUUGAAGGAUGCCCUGUGUAGAUUAUUCAGUGCCACAAAUUGAAAGCUUCCAUGUUUAAUGUUAUCCUCUUGCUAUAUAAAUAAAGCAAAUAUAUUUAGGCCAGGGUCUCACUGAGGGGGAGCUGUCUUGUCAUCUUUUAGAGUAAACUAUUCUAUAAACAUAUGCAAACAGCCCUAAAUAAAUCUAAAGUCUAAAGUUUUAUUGAUGUGAAAUUAAAUUCUUAUUGGCCAAAUGCCUGUUUUGAUGAGUUGAUUUAUAAAGAUUUUUGUUAAGCUCAGGAUUUUAAAUUACACAGUUCACAAACAGUAAAGGCCAUGUGAAGAGAAUUAUUACAUCUUUAUUAACCUCAGCAUUUACUUUGUUUCUUUUGCUUAGGAAAUUGCUCAUAAUCUGGUUAUAAUUUUGGUCCAAAUUCUUUAUUCUUCCUUGAGCUAAGCAGAAUAAUGGAAUAUAAUAUGUCUUCAUAAUAUAACAACACUAAUACACUAAUAGUAAGAUUAAGUUAGGCAGUCUUCUACCAAAUGUGUAAUGGAGAUUGCCUCAAAAUUGUGUCCACAUAAUCCACGCUCAUCUUGCAAAGCGCUAUUUCAGGCACAUCAUUGGAAUACAGGAAGUAGCCCUGCACCUGCCAGUGAGCUCGCCAUUCACUGAUUGGAAGAGUGACCUGGCAUCUUGGAAAUCAUUGUGUGUCUUCAGGAGAAUGUGCAGUGUCUUGUAACAACUAAUUAUAAUGCAAAUUAGGGCUACAUUGUAAUCUGCUUUGUUAAUGAAAAUGAUAAAACAGAAUAUUGACAAGCUAGGACACCUGUGGUAUCUUUAAUUGUAUCUCCUUCAGAAGUUUGCUUCUUAUGGUAUAAUAAAGUAUGGAAGAAUAUUGAGU
rnacentral:lncRNA from 1 species